rnacentral:rRNA from 1 species
CGGACGGGUGAGUAAUGUCUGGGAAACUGCCUGAUGGAGGGGGAUAACUACUGGAAACGGUAGCUAAUACCGCAUAACGUCGCAAGACCAAAGAGGGGACCUUCGGGCCUCUUGCCAUCGGAUGUGCCCAGAUGGGAUUAGCUAGUAGGUGGGGUAGCGGCACACCUAGGCGACGAUCCCUAGCUGGUCUGAGAGGAUGACCAGCCACACUGGAACUGAGACACGGUCCAG